rnacentral:lncRNA from 1 species
UCCCGACGAGUACCGGAAAAGGGUCGAAUCUGUGGGAGUACCGAAAAAUAUUAGCAUCCCGACGAGUACCGGGAAAAGGUAGAAUCCGUGCGAGUAACCAAAAGCUGUCCCCACGAUUACCGGAAAACGGUCGAAUCUGUGGGAGUACCGAAAAAAUGAUAGAAUCCGGGCGAGUGUGAAAAAACUUUCCUGACGAGUACCGGAAAAUGGUCGAAUCUGUGGGAGUACCGAAAAAUAGUAGCAUCCCGACGAGUACCGGGAAAAUGUCGAAUCCGUGCGAGUAACCAAAAGCUGUCCCCACGAGUACCGGAAAAUGGUCGAAGCUGUGGGAGUACCGAAAAUUGGUAGCAUCCCGACGAGUACCAAGAAAAGGUAGAAUCCGUGCGAGUGUGAAAAAACUUUCCCAACGAGUACCGAAAAAGGGUCGAAUCUGUGGCAGUACCGAAAAAUAGUAGCAUCCCGACGAGUACCGGGAAAAGGUAGAAUCCGUGCGAGUAACCAAAAGUUGUCCCCACGAGUACCGGAAAACGGUCGAAUCUGUGGGAGUACCGAAAAAAUGAUAGAAUCCGGGCGAGUGUGAAAAAACUUUGCCGACGAGUACCAAAAAAGGGUCGAAUCUGUGGCAGUACCGAAAAAUAGUAGCAUCCCGACGAGUACCGGGAAAAGGUAGAAUCCGUCCGAGUAACCAAAAGGUGUCCCCACGAGUACCGGAAAACGGUCGGAUCUGUGGGAGUACCGAAAAAAUGAUAGAAUCCAGGCGAGUACCGGGAAAAGGUAGAAUCCGUGCGAGUAACCAAAAGCUGUCCCCACGAGUACCGGAAAACGGUCGAAUCUGUGGGAGUACCGAAAAAUGAUAGAAUCCGGGCGAGUACCGAGAAAACGUAGAAUCCGUGCGAGUGUCAAAAAACUUUCCCGACGAGUACCGAAAAAGGGUCGAAUUUGUGGGAGUAACGAAAAAUGAUAGAAUCCGGGCGUGUACUGGGAAAAGGUAGAAUCCGUGCGAGUGUCCAAAAACUGUUCCCACGAGCACCGGAAAAGGGUCGAAUCUGUGGGAGUACCGAAAAAUAGUAGCAUCCCGACGAGUACCGGGAAAAGGUAGAAUCCGUGCCAGUAACCAAAAGGUGUCCCCACGAGUACCGGAAAACGGUCGGAUCUGUGGGAGUACCGAAAAAAUGAUAGAAUCCAGGCGAGUACCGGGAAAAGGUAGAAUCCGUGCGAGUAACCAAAAGCUGUCCCCACGAGUACCGGAAAACGGUCGAAUCUGUGGGAGUACCGAAAAAUGAUAGAAUCCGGGCGAGUACCGAGAAAACGUAGAAUCCGUGCGAGUGUCAAAAAACUUUCCCGACGAGUACCGAAAAAGGGUCGAAUUUGUGGGAGUACCGAAAAAUAGUGGCAUCCCGACGAGUACCGAGAAAAUGUAGAAUCCCUGCGAGUAACCAAAAGUUGUCCCCACGAGUACCGGAAAACGGUCGAAUCUGUGGGAGUACCGAAAAAAUGAUAGAAUCCGGGCGAGUGUGAAAAAACUUUGCCGACGAGUACCAAAAAAGGGUCGAAUCUGUGGCAGUACCGAAAAAUAGUAGCAUCCCGACGAGUACCGGGAAAAGGUAGAAUCCGUCCGAGUAACCAAAAGGUGUCCCCACGAGUACCGGAAAACGGUCGGAUCUGUGGGAGUACCGAAAAAAUGAUAGAAUCCAGGCGAGUACCGGGAAAAGGUAGAAUCCGUGCGAGUAACCAAAAGCUGUCCCCACGACUACCGGAAAACGGUCGAAUCUGUGGGAGUACCGAAAAAUGAUAGAAUCCGGGCGAGUACCGAGAAAACGUAGAAUCCGUGCGAGUGUCAAAAAACUUUCCCGACGAGUACCGAAAAAGGGUCGAAUUUGUGGGAGUAACGAAAAAUGAUAGAAUCCGGGCGUGUACUGGGAAAAGGUAGAAUCCGUGCGAGUGUCCAAAAACUGUUCCCACGAGCACCGGAAAAGGGUCGAAUCUGUGGGAGUACCGAAAAAUAGUAGCAUCCCGACGAGUACCGGGAAAAGGUAGAAUCCGUGCCAGUAACCAAAAGCUGUCCCCACGAUUACCGGAAAACGGUCGAAUCUGUGGGAGUACCGAAAAAAUGAUAGAAUCC